CAAGAAGUAGUUUAAUUUAGAAUUCUAACUUUGGGAGUUAGUGGUAGGAGUUUGAAUCUCUUCUUUUUGA
rnacentral:tRNA from 1 species